CCUACGGGUGGCAGCAGUAGGGAAUCUUCCACAAUGGGCGAAAGCCUGAUGCAGCAACGCCGCGUGGGUGAAGAAGGUCUUCUGAUCGUAAAACCCUGUUGUUAGAGAAGAAAGUGCGUGAGAGUAACUGUUCACGUUUCGACGGUAUCUAACCAGAAAGCCACGGCUAACUACGUGCCAGCAGCCGCGGGAAUACGUAGGUGGCAAGCGUUAUCCGGAUUUAUUGGGCGUAAAGGGAACGCAGGCGGUCUUUUAAGUCUGAUGUGAAAGCCUUCGGCUUAACCGGAGUAGUGCAUUGGAAACUGGGAGACUUGAGUGCAGAAGAGGAGAGUGGAACUCCAUGUGUAGCGGUGAAAUGCGUAGAUAUAUGGAAGAACAGCAGAGGCGAAAGCGGCUCUCUGGUCUGUCACUGACGCUGAGGUUCGAAAGCGUGGGUAGCAAACAGGAUUAGAUACCCCUGUAGUC
rnacentral:rRNA from 1 species